GCACUGCUGAGGAGUCCUAUACUAGGAUGAAACGGCUGUCCAGUGC
rfam:Schistosoma curassoni strain Dakar, Senegal genome assembly, scaffold: SCTD_scaffold0012039